AAGCGCGUAUUCCCAGGGAUGAACAAAGGAAAUCAAAUGGACUCGCUCGCAAGAAAUUGAACACAAAGUCUCAGGAUCUUGAUGACCUUCUAACACAAAUUCUCCCUCAAAGCUCUAGGAGCUCAGCAUCCAAUGAGGCUCACUAUGAAGCAACAAUACCCUUGGUAUCAAGUCAGAAUCUUUGUUCUAGGUGUAAAUGCACGGUUACAAACUUUGCCGGAAAGGAAGAUAAUAGUGUGAACAGCAAUCCUAAACUUUUUGACUCAGAAAAUCAAGAAAAUUCUCCCACCGAACCCAAAAAAAUCCUAAAAGACGUCUGUGUCCAAACUGAGGAUGUUACAAUAGUACAUUCACGAACUACGAAAGAGAGCAGUGUUCAAACAGUACCCUUGUCGCAGUCAUUAGAAACUGUACCUUGCAAAGACAUGACUGAAGAAAAAUUAAUGCGGCUAAAAGAUGAAUACAUCUUACAAACCAUGAAAUCGUUAAUGAUCCAAGCUAGUCACAAGCUCACUCUUAAUGAUCUGUAUAAUUUAGGCUUGGAACAGGAAAACGAAAGGCCGAGAAAAAAAACUCAGAGAAAUCACGCAGAAUUCAUCAAGGCUUGAGGAAGAUGCGAACAGAUUAGAAUCUCUCCUUCUUCAGCCAAGGUCUUUUUCGGCGAAUCGAAUCACCAAUGAUAACAGCAUGCACCCUCCGACGGAUCAGAGAACGCCACAGAAUCAGGUGAUAAAGAGAAAAACAGCGUCAGACAUGAAAUACACAGCUGUGUCAACCCAUCAUCCAGUGAGCGAAAAUUAUUGGAUGACUCAAAGUUUAUAAACCGAUCCACGGUCUGCCCGAAGGAUGUGACAAUUUGUGAAACAGAAGAAGCUCAUCCAGCCGACGAUUCAAUGAUGAAAGAUGUUGUGCCCAUGGAAGUUGAAGAGGACUUGCCGACAGUUGUAAAAUCUGCCAACACAAGGGAAAAUAUGCCUCCGAAACCAGAAGAAAUUGACACCAGCCGAUUAGAUAUUGUUAGAAUUAGAGACAAAAUGAAUUCGUCUUGUUCAAAUGACUCUCUGGUUCUGAGUUCAAGAAAGGCUGCUCACCGUUCCUUGAAUUUCCAAAGCUUUUUUGCUAGAGCGAGUGAUAGCACACCCUCCAGCCCUCCAAAAGCUGUAAAUAGUGAUGGAAAGACAGAGUCAUAUUUCUCCAGUGAGUGCAAUGGAAUAAGAACAGAAGAUGAGGAUGACUCGAAAAAGCGAUCUCCUAUGGAUCCUAAAUCAGACAAUAGUAACUCAAUCCUUCAUGACCAACAAGUUAAUACCCAGCUCCCUGAAGAUACCAUGAAGCACUCGUCUAAUUUCUCAAAUCCAAUGGACACUCAGAAACCAGAUGAAGGCAACGAAACCGGUAUCGUAGAGAACUCUGAUGAUGAAUCAAUCAUCCAAGCUACUCCUAAAAAAUUUGGCGCUGAGUCGUUUCUAACACCUGACAUGCUGUCAUCACAAAACUCACAAGUAACAAAACAAAAUGAUGCUGAUUUGCAUCCAGCCUUUGAAGCUGAAAAUUCUGAUUCUCGUAGACCCGCUGAAACUAUUGCAGCUGCAAGGAAUUGCCCUCCUGACUCAGAUAAUAGCAUUACUAAACAUACAAAUUCCAUUGACUCACAAGUCAAUGAAAUACCCUCGUCUAUUCUCCCAACUGCUGAGGAUUGUUAUCCAAAGCAAACAGAAAGGAGAAACAGCUUCUUCAAUCCUCAGCUGCCACACCAAGUUCAGAAUGUUGAGAGACUGUCUCGCGAGUUCAUAAUGAAUCAUAACCCUCAGCCUGUCCACCCGCCCGUCCACAAUUACGACGAAGGCAAGAGCCAUACAUCGGAGUUGGCCCUCUCCCAAGACCUGGGUGAGCAGCGAAGACUCUUCAUAACAACCUCUGGACUUCAAAAAUCAGCUUUGAUGGGCGUACAAGAAUUUUGCAAGAGAUUCAAUUGUGUCUACGAAAGUGAAAUCACUGAAAGAACCACACAUCUAGUCGUACGAACCAACCAAGAUAGAGCCCUGAGCACAAUGAAAUUUAUUUUAGCCGUCGCCAUGCACAAGCUUGUCGUUACUUUAGAUUGGAUGUCAUCGUGCAUGAAAGCAGGAGAGCUGAUUCCAGAGUCUCCUUUCAUUCCUUUAAGCAGUUCGGGUCGAGCAGGACCACUCAAUUCCCUGUUGGACAAAACGAAUGCUGUGUCCUCUCCCCUUUUCAGGCAGUUUAUUGUGCACAUUGUGGGACCGUUUGCCAUGUUCAAAAAGAAAAUUUGAUGGAUCUGCUUCUGUUUAGCGGGGCAAAAAUUGCAGAAAGCUACCCUGAUUUAGCUGCCGAUCGAAGCCGAAUCAGAUUAGUGCUCAUCAAUAGCAAAAGUGCAGAAGAAAAGUGCUCUUUUUAUUGCGGUACGUUUUUCUCUCAUUCUCAUUAUCACAAAAGGGGGAACUUUGAAUAUAAAAGAACCAAAAAAAAAUUCUAAUCAGAAAAGUUCUAUCAUGUAUUUCUAUCUUGCAGAAUUUUUAGGGUAGCACCAACAAAUUUAAGGGUUGAUUGGUGUCAUUAUACAAUUUUUCUGUUCCUUGAUCAUGGUGGUGUACCGAAAAUCUUGUUUUUCAUUUAUCAUUAUCUGGCCGCCCUUUGAAUUCCCAGGUGCAACGGAACAGAUAGGGCACACCACUUGUCCUGUGUCCUAUGUCCUGUCUAUGUCUAGUGGCUCAUUGGUGAUGUCAGUCCCAUACUUGGUGGGUAGAUAAAGAAUUUAAUACCACAGUAUUUUGUCGUAGUGUUUGUUUUCUUUGAACUAAGUAACUGAAGUAACUACAAGUUUUACGGAUGGUCUAACUAACCUAAAAAAAAUUCUUAUGAUACUAUGUAUUUUUUCUUUUUCAGAUGUCAUGCAAAGGUACAAAGCCUUUGUCCUCUUGCACGACUGGCGAUCGAAUCUGUUUCAAACUAUAAAGUUGAACCGUUCAGCAAUCACAAUCCCUUACCGGUGGUCUACAGUUUCGAAAUGAUCAUAAUUUCCAUAUUCCUGGUUACAUUAAGGACCAGGCUUUGCGCUACUUUGAAAGUCAUGAUGACAGCUUUGAUGAAACUUCGGAAUUGUCUAGUCAAGCUUAGGGUAAUGCAGAUUCAGCAAGUAUCGACUUUCUUCAUCAUGUAGAAAACGUUGUUAAAUAUGUAAUUCCAGCAAAAAAAAACUUUUUUUUGUAUUCAUUGAAAUUAUUGAUUUGUAAGUGAGAAAAUGUUCCACUCUAAUUUUUUAUUAUUUAAUCAUUCAAAUGAAAAAAGAACAAAAAUUUCAAGUAUGGUAUAGUAUCUACAGAGGAUACUUAAAUUAUUUUCUCGGUGUUGUUUCCCAUGCGAAAUGUUAUUUAUUAGUUAUAAGAUGUUUGGAAAAUCAAAGCUUUCAAAAUCUAUUUUUCUAAAUGUGUAAUAUUUGCCAAUGGGUCUACCGCACACUGGAGAUGUGGCUAAUUAUGUUUAUAUUUCAUAAGUAAAAUCGCACAAAAAUUACACUGAGGACAUCAUAAAUAUCUCAUGUACUCUUCAAAAUGCUCCAUCCAUCAGUCCAUUUUUCACAAUUUCAAAUAUACCACGUCUGCAAGUACAUUUUCUUAGUUCCAGGCAAUGAGGCAACCAAUUGAAAUGAACAAUCCUGUAAGUUGUCAAAUCUUCCUAACAUAGACUUAAAAAUUUUUCGAGCAUUUUUUUUUCUUUUUCCUCUAAAUGAAGUAAAAACAUAUGCUUUAAAACAGUUUAUAUUAUUUGUGAGGAAUAUUGAUAACAGUUUGCUCAAGAUUUCAUUUACGUCCAGCUCUCCGCUGACAAACCUGUUUGAAACCUGGACGAUGUAGAAAAUACUGCUUGCAAAUGUGGUGAAUUUGAAAUUACAUAAUAUGGACCACUUAUGUAACUUGUCCGUUUUGUAGUAUAUUUCAUGUAUUUCUGAUCUGCCCAACGUGAUUUUUAAGCAGCUUUACCUCAUUAAGUCUACUCGGUUGGCUGUAUCCCCUCUGUGCAACAGACCCAUCGAUGGCACUGCUGGAUGUUGAGGGUAAGUGCAAGGAUUUCUGCGCAGGAAAAAUUAAUUAUAAGGUAGAUUUUUGAAUUCUCAGAAUCGCUCUGUCUGAACGGGUAAAAAAUAGUGGGGGUUUUUUCCUUCUUUUAUAUUCUAAAGUUAUGAAAGUCAAUUAAUAUAAUUUUGAUUAAUGAGACAACUAAAAUUACACACAAAUUGUGCAGAGAAUAUAAAAAAUGUCUAACAUUCACUGCAAAACGCACUAUCUGCUUAGUCCAUUUUCCAAAAUUUCAAAUUUAUUAUGUCCUAAAUUAAAUUAAUUUAGGACAUUAAUUAAUUAAUUAAAAAGAGGCAUAACUCACUUAUGCCUGUCCAGAAGCAUUUAAGAAACAGAUGUUUGUUUAAUGCUUGUCUGUUGAAAAUUCAACAGAGCCCAUUAAUAAAUAAGGAUGUAUGUAGUUGUUUUUUCCAUUCUUAUUCGGAUGCAAUUACGCAAAAAGCAGGGUUGCCUCUGUCAGGGACCACUGGGAAAUGUCAGGGAAUUUUACAAACUUACAGGAAACCUGGCAAAUUCAGGGAAAAUAAUGAAAGUGUCUUGGAAAAAUUGUCAAGUCACUUUUAUUUGCUUUCUAGAAUGGGUUUGACGUUUUGAACAACGUCAAAACAUUGUUCGUAUUUUUUUUUACAACGUAAAUUAUGUAUUUUUUGUAAUUAUUGUCUUUUAUGCAUAUCCUCAAUAAUUUUCAAGGAAUUUUACCUAAAUGUGGAAGGAAAAUCUGUCUUCAUGCAUGUCUUCAACUGUCAGGGAAUUUUACCAAAAUAUAUCAAGAAAUCUUCAUUUUCUAAAUUCUAUGGCAACUCAAGAGGAGUGAUCUUCCCAUACCAUCCAUUCGUAAUCUACAUUCCAAAAUGUAUCGAGACUAAAAUAAUUUUGUGCACAUUAUGAAGUAAAAAAGGGGGAAAACCUCUUCGCAAAAAGAUAUGCAUAUGAAGAAGUGCUCUGUAUUUUUCAAAAAAUGAACAGAUUUUUUCAACCCUAUUGGGCACGUCAUGUAAUGCAGAAAAUUUGUCCGCAACUCAGUUAGGAAUCGCUGAUUUUUAAAACUAACGCCCUGCAUCCAGCAGCGUUCUAAUUGUUAUUCUGAUUAAUGUGUAGAAAUCAUAACUCAGUUGUAAGUUUAACUUUGUAUUAUGCAAUUUUUCCUGUUUCAUUAUUAUUGUAAAAAAGUUGUAUGUAUAGCUUUUCUAAAUUAUUGUGUCAUGUAAUGGUUAAGUCCAUGACCUUUUUUGAAAAAUCUUCAAAACUCUAUCAAAAUUCAAAAAUUUGUUAAUACCUGCAUUUUUUCUAUGUAAUUUAUUUUUCUCCACCUCUGUGGUGCCUUAAAUUUCUGCGAUAAGCUCUUUCAUAAAGAUCUAAAUUUUUGUACCAGUUAUCAUUCCUAUUAUAUAAAUAUUUUUUUUUUCAUGCCUUUAAAGUAAACAUCUUACUUUUGACUUGAAA
rnacentral:lncRNA from 1 species